GGCCCGGCGGAGGAGCAACGACCACUGAGGCCUAGGGAUCCCCCAAGCGUCGCAGCACGGUGACAAUCUCUCGCCUACGGCAUGCUGUGAAACCCCUUGCGAUUGGCCAACUCGGGGCCCUGGGCGGGGCAUCCGUCUAAUGUGCCCAAUGAGCAGGCCCCGUACACAAGACCAAGUGCGGGCCCGACCGACGGGAGGAGAAGUGCAGACGCUCCCUAACCCAGGGGCUGGCCUGGGGGGAGGGGCGCCGGGUGGUCCGGGCGGGUGGGGGAGGAGCAGGGGCAGGGCUAGGCCCCUGUGGCCGGGGUCUCAGGUCCGCCCCGAACCCACGCGCGAACGCUUGUCCUUCCCGGCCACGCUGGGCGCCUCUCCGUCUAGCGGCCCCCGACCCCCGUCCCCUGGCCCAGAGUGGGAAAGAGGGAGCGUUCCAAGGUCAGCCCCUCCGCCCGUGGGCUCUUUGGGGUCAAGUGGCGGGAGGUGACCGCCCCCCCACCCCGGCCCCCAGCUUGCAUUCAUUCACCCCUUCGCCCUGGGUCUCCUCCUUCCUCCGUUUCCUUCCAUCCUCCCCACCCUCACCCCCG
rnacentral:lncRNA from 1 species